rfam:Erwinia iniecta strain B120 contig000013, whole genome shotgun sequence.
CAACUCGAUUGCUGAUGGAUAACCAAAAUCAUAAAAAAAUUCCUCUUUGACGGGCCGAUAGCGAUAUUGGCCUUUUUUUU